rnacentral:tRNA from 1 species
AAUCCCAGCUGGAGACUCAUGGAUCCGGCUGGUUCGGAAAUUCUGAUCCGAGGUCGCAGGUUCGAAUCCUGCCGGGG